rnacentral:rRNA from 1 species
GUAAAGCGUCUGUAGGUGGUUUAGUAAGUCGAUUGUUAAAGCUUGAGGCUCAACUUCAAAACAGCAAUGGAAACUGCUAGACUUGAGUAUGGUAGAGGUAAGAGGAAUUUCCAGUGGAGCGGUGAAAUGCGUAGAUAUUGGAAAGAACACCGAUGGCGAAGGCAUCUUACUGGGCCAUAACUGACACUCAGAGACGAAAGCUAGGGUAGCAAAUGGGAUUAGAUACCCCAGUAGUCCUAGCUGUAAACGAUGGAUACUCGAUGUUGCACGUAUCGACUCGUGCAGUGUCCUAGCUAACGCGUUAAGUAUCCCGCCUGGGAAGUAUGCACGCAAGUGUGAAACUCAAAGGAAUUGACGGGGGCCCGCACAAGCGGUGGAGCAUGUGGUUUAAUUUGAUGCAACGCGAAGAACCUUACCAGGGUUUGACAUGACAUGAAUUUUUCUGAGAAGAGAAAGUGCCUUUUGGAACAUGUACACAGGUGGUGCAUGGCU